CCCAGUUUUGCUCCAAGGACCAAUCUCAAAUUGCCCCCGUAACUUCGGGAGAAGGGGGGCCUCCGCUGGUGAUCAGACUUGCUUUGUGAGCUGGUGGGGGUCGCAGAGGCCAGGGGGAAGCGACUGUUUACUAAAAACACAGGUCCGUGCGAAGUCGUAAGACGAUGUAUACGGACUGACGCCUGCCCGGUGCUGGAACGUUAAGGGGACCGGUUAGCGCACUUCGGUGUGCGAGGCUGAGAACUUAAGCGCCAGUAAACGGCGGUGGUAACUAUAACCAUCCUAAGGUAGCGAAAUUCCUUGUCGGGUAAGUUCCGACCUGCACGAAUGGCGUAACGACUUCCCCGCUGUCUCAACCGCAGACCCGGCGAAAUUGCACUACGAGUAAAGAUGCUCGUUACGCGCAGCAGGACGGAAAGACCCCGGGACCUUCACUACAGCUUGACAUUGGCGUUUGGAACGUCUUGUGUAGGAUAGGUGGGAGACUGUGAAGCUGUCACGCUAGUGGCGGUGGAGUCAUUGGUGAAAUACCACUCUGGUCGUUUUGAACGUCUAACUUCGGUCCGUGAUCCGGAUCAGGGACAGUGUCUGGUGGGUAGUUUAACUGGGGCGGUUGCCUCCUAAAGAGUAACGGAGGCGCCCAAAGGUUCCCUCAGCCUGGUUGGUAAUCAGGUGUCGAGUGUAAGUGCACAAGGGAGCUUGACUGUGAGACCGACGGGUCGAGCAGGAGCGAAAGCUGGGACUAGUGAUCCGGCGGUGGCAUGUGGAAGCGCCGUCGCUCAACGGCUAAAAGGUACCCCGGGGAUAACAGGCUGAUCUUCCCCAAGAGUCCAUAUCGACGGGAUGGUUUGGCACCUCGAUGUCGGCUCGUCGCAUCCUGGGGCUGGAGUAGGUCCCAAGGGUUGGGCUGUUCGCCCAUUAAAGCGGUACGCGAGCUGGGUUUAGAACGUCGCGAGACAGUUCGGUCCCUAUCCGCUGCGCGCGCAGGAGACUUGAAAGGAGCUGUCCCUAGUACGAGAGGACCGGGACGGACGAACCUCUGGUGUGCCAGUUGUUCCGCCAGGAGCAUGGCUGGUUGGCUACGUUCGGAAGGGAUAACCGCUGAAAGCAUCUAAGCGGGAAGCUCGCCUUGAGAUGAGGUCUCCCACCACGUGAGUGGGUAAGGCCCCCGGGAGACGACCGGGUUGAUAGGCCGGAGGUGGAAGCAUGGUAACGUGUGGAGCUGACCGGUACUAAUAGGCCGAGGACUUGACCG
rnacentral:rRNA from 1 species